GACGAACGCUGGCGGCGUGCUUAACACAUGCAAGUCGAACGGAAAGGCCCUGCUUUUGUGGGGUGCUCGAGUGGCGAACGGGUGAGUAACACGUGAGUAACCUGCCCUUGACUUUGGGAUAACUUCAGGAAACUGGGGCUAAUACCGGAUAGGAGCUCCUGCUGCAUGGUGGGGGUUGGAAAGUUUCGGCGGUUGGGGAUGGACUCGCGGCUUAUCAGCUUGUUGGUGGGGUAGUGGCUUACCAAGGCUUUGACGGGUAGCCGGCCUGAGAGGGUGACCGGCCACAUUGGGACUGAGAUACGGCCCAGACUCCUACGGGAGGCAGCAGUGGGGAAUAUUGCACAAUGGGCGGAAGCCUGAUGCAGCAACGCCGCGUGCGGGAUGACGGCCUUCGGGUUGUAAACCGCUUUCGCCUGUGACGAAGCGUGAGUGACGGUAAUGGGUAAAAAAGCACCGGCUAACUACGUG
rnacentral:rRNA from 1 species